rnacentral:rRNA from 1 species
ACGCUCGACACCUACGGGGCAGCAGUGGGGAAUAUUGCACAAUGGGGAAACCCUGAUGCAGCAACGCCGCGUGAGUGAAGAAGUAUUUCGGUAUGUAAAGCUCUAUCAGCAGGGAAGAUAAUGACGGUACCUGACUAAGAAGCUCCGGCUAAAUACGCGCCAGCAGCCGCGGUAAUCUGAGCGGGCUGGCAAGGC